CUGCAGAAAAAGAGGGAGGAAUUCCAGGGCGAGAAGGAGAAAACCAAACUGCUGCUGCGGCAUUGUAAGCAGCUCCUCAGGAAGAUACCCGAGCUGCAGAGGGAGAGGGAUGAGCUCGAGGGCGAGAAAAACAUGCUGCAGGAAAGCAGGAAUGUGCUCCACAAGGAGGAAAGCAUGCUGUACUUGGAGAAGAAUAAGCUCCUCAUC